GGUUCACAUCCUGGGAUGAAUCACCACAGACAAACAGCUCCAGAAGAGACAUGGCUCAGAGGCCCAUAGAGGAGAAGAGGAGCUGUCUGUCGCUCUGGGCACGCUUCUUUCAGGAGUAGCUGCUCUCCUGACUCAGACAAGACUGCACGUGAAUUAAUGGUAGCAGCCACCUUGGAAAUGACUUUGUUAUUUAUCAGAGACUGUUUGAACAUAUGCCAGUUUCCCCCACAAGGCCUCAUUCAGGACCCAUCAGGAUCAAUGGAAAAACUCCAGUUAAUAAGACCUUGAUGCAAGUCCAGAUCUAAUUUCAAAAGUCUCCCAAGAAGGAUCUACUUAUGAUGUUGAAAACAGACCAGAAGCAGAUGAUGUAAGAGCAACAAUAUGUCCCUGAGCAACAGCAAAGCAGCAGGUGCAGGAGAAGCAUAUGCCGCAUUCCCAGCAGCAGAAGCAGCCAUGCAAAGGUCUCUCAGGGACCGCAUGUGGGAUGCAUGCUCCACUUUUCCUCUGGCACUGAGGGAUGUUAAUAAGCCUGCAUCAAACCAAGCAAGUAAUUUACAAACUUAACUUUCAAUUAUGUAAUAAUUCAUAGAGUAAACACACAGACUUCAGUACAAGAGAAUUUCUCAGGCAAAGCAACCUGGGCCUUUAAUAAAAUAUCUUAUUUUACUUCUAAAUAUUGAAUGUCCAGAAAUAAUAAUAAAGGAAAUUAGAAACCUUAGCUCUGACCCUAUCCCCAAAACUAUCCCACACAGUGAGAAACAUGAAAAGUUUCCAUUCAUUUAUUCAAAAAAAAAAAAAAAGACAUUACUUUCAAAAAAUACUUU